CUGUCUUUUCUUCUUCCACAAUUCUUCUAACUUCUCUUGCAUUUUUCGAGUUUUUUUGCUACUGCCGCUGCUGCUUGUUCGUGCUUUCGUUGGCGUCGCAGCUUCUUGGAUUCGCGUCGAUUGCUUUUGUUUGCUACUGCCUUCGCUGUUCGCGUCUUGUCUUCUCCCUUCUCUGUUCCUCAAUCAUCUUCCAAAGAUUUUUCGGAUAUAGCAAGACUACCAAAAGAUACAUUCUCAAAAAUGGCUUACUCAGUUGUUGGUGUUCACAAUAGAGGUAGCCAUUUCGGCGAUGCCUAAAAAUGCAGAACAAUUUGUGAUUCUGUUGGAUGCAAGCUUUUAUAGGUUCGCAUCUACUUUUAUGAGCUUGCUGCUGGCAGUGCUAAAAAUAGUGGGCAACUACUACCCAGGCAGGAUCUAUAAAGCAUGUGUCCCUCCUUCUCUUUGCUUACACCUGGAAGGUAACUAAAAUUCAUAUUACAAUUUUUUCUUGCUCAACUAUGGAACUAGCUUCUGUGAGUAACUAGCUUGAAGCCUUGAAUAGCUUGUAUUGGACUUACAAUAACAGCAAACUCAUAUUGGCCUUGUUGAGAUCCAUGGAUCAAUCUCUCUAAGGUCUAUCCUUACUAAUGAACCUAUUUCUGAAGUAUGAAAAUUGAUUAGUUCUUAUGCGUUAUUAUCCUAUAAAAGUUUUAAUUUGGAUCCAAUUCUGGUUGAUGUUUUAGUUGGAUUAUCACUUCUAGGUAAUUUUACUUCUUUCUUUAAAACUUAUUACAUGGUUAUCACUGUUGAAUUUUAUAUUAUCAUUAGGCUUCAUUGAUAGUGUUGUAUUUAUAUUUAGCAUUAUUACUACUUUACCUACAUAGGGUGUGAGGAUUCCUUUUACCUAAUCUUGUGUAACUGUAUGAUUGGUGCCUAAUGUUAUUGUGCAAUAACUUUUCAUUGUAGGUAGCUUAUUCUUUGAUAUUGAUGGUUACUUUUUAAGAGAGUGCAAAUUGUCAUUGUAAAAAUUCGCUCAAGAUUUGAUUUUGGAUUGCAUCU